UUACAAAUAUACGUACAGUAAAAUACAAAUACUUUAAUAUAGGCAUAAGAAAAUUGUAACUAAUACAUAAACAAAUACAUUGAAGAGUAUAUAAAUGCAGGAAUGUAAGGAAUAAACUGUACAAAUAUACAAGUGCUGUAAUUAUUUUAAUUAUUUAUUUCUGUUCAAUUUAUUAAUUUGUUUAUGAUUUUAUGGCCCUUAUUAAUUUAUUUACUUGUCUUUUUUUAUACUCCUCUUUUCUUCUUUGUUUGCUUCCACUUGUAAUAAUUCAAUUUCUAAAUAUUUUUUUGAUUUGGCAGGUAUGAUCCUCCAUAUGUAACCAACUCAUCGCGGCAGCUAGCCAGCUUUUCAAGAUGUCCCUAUAGGCAUACAGCAUUGAACAUCUCUUGCAUCAUUAAAUAUCCUACCAUGCUAUUUGGCAGACUGCAAAAAAAAGACAAUAUGGAUGCAGUCACCACAAGUUUUCCACAGUCAAACAUGACCGUUUCAUCACAAACAACAAAUGACAACACGGUUCUAGUCUACAGCAGUCGACGAUCUCUCACCAAGAGGAACACUACCUCUGUAAGUAUGCACUAAAAAAAAAUUUACAGGGCCUUUUUAUAUGUACAUACAUGUCUGUAAAGAUGCUAUUUAAAUCUAAGAAAAUGUAGGAUUUUUGCAAUGUCUUGAAAAAUACCAAAAAUGCCCACACAAAAUACACAGACACAUGCAAGAGUACACAGUGUUCGUACAAAAUCACAGCCAGGCUCUAUAUAACACUGUGCCAGUGAAUGAGAGUGUGUGCAAGCCAAGCAGCGCUGUGAGCAGUGGGGGUGCAGGAGGCGGGAGUGGCGUGUCAUGGUGUGGGAGUUGGGAAGCGCGUGGGCGGACAACAGCCAAUCCAGCAGGUCCUUCGCACUGUUAUUUAUUCCUAAAUGUUCCUCACAGUGCUGAACGUUACAUCCCAUCCUUAUAAUUACAGUCUGCUUAAAGGAAUUUAUAAAGACAGAGAUAAGUGGAGUCCAAAGCUUAUUAAUAGCUCUUGCAUCAAAUCUAAUUUUCUUUUGUAGAGCUUUUUAAAAGGUGAGGAGGCAUUACAUACACAGUCUUACUGUGUGCUGAGGUCAUAGAAAGGGUGUAAUUGGACAUGGAGUCCAAAUAAUUAUUCGUUAUCGAUUAAAAUUGGAUCGUGUGCACUUUUGACCAUAUGGGGGAUAAGAAUUGAUGGCAAGACUUCAGAGCUCAAAUUAGUUCUAAACGAAUGACAAAGUGACUCUUCGUUUAUAUAAAGCCUUCUUAGUCAUGCCCAUAAAGAAAUAUAGUAUAGUGAUGAAUCCAAUUAGUCAUCAAAGAAAAGUUUGUCUAUGGAAAGGAUGUCUAAAUUUGUAGUCAUUAUUUGCACUGGAGCUCUAAGUCUCAUCCCAGUUAACGAUUGUGGGUGAGUAGAACUUUUUCCAUAAACUUUUCUAGUUAUUUAAGAGGGUCAACCAGUUAUUAAAUCCAAAGGUUCACAUACUUUUUUCCACCGUCACUCUAAAUUUUAACAUGUUGUGUUCAAUAAAACCAUGCAAACAUAUAUUUGUUGUGUGGUAUUAGUUUAAGCAGACUGUGUUUGUCUAUUGUUGUGACUUAGAUGAAGAUCAGAACACAAUUAAUGACCAAUUUAUGCAGAAAUCCAAGUAAUCCCAAAGGGUUCACAUACUUUUUCUUACAACUUUAUAUAUUAUUGCUUUUAACUUUUCCAUAAUGUUGGUAUUGGUCUGGCUGGGAACAUUGUGUAAAGAAUGUUCUUAAAACUUUAGGAUGCAAACCAAUAUUAUGCAACACAUUUCUAUAUUCAUUAUUUCUAUAACGUUACAGGCUAACCUUCUUCUAACGUUCUUUGUUAUCUGAGAUGUAGCUUACAAUUUACUUAUACCACAUCAGUUAGCAGUCAUUAUAUAAACUAGACUAUAUAGACAAAAGUUUUGGGACGCACACAUCUUAAUUAUUGGUGUUAUUGUGUAAGUCAAACACCUAGCUACGCAGUCUGCCUUUACAAACAUUAGUGAAACAAUGGGAGGAGCUAAGAAGCACUGAAUUCCAAAAAUUCCAAUAACCAGAAUGACCAGAAUUUGAGUAGCAGCAUCAAGUUGGUCACCCAUCAUGACCAGCAUGACCAGAAUCCACAUAAACUCUGUUGGCCAAGAGCUGGUUAACCAGCAGUCUUACCAGUUUAGGGUAUUUUUUCAUAUUGGUAUCCAGCUUUUUCACCAUUUAGACCAUCAAAGACCAGCUUAGACCAUCUGAAAUCAUCUGCCAGCUGGUCUUAAGAUGGAAUUUCCGGCAGGGUCAUGCAAACUGCAUGCCAACAUCAUCACACAUUUGCUUCAAAUUCCUCUGUCUAAGAUUAUUUAGACCAGUUACUACCACCUGAAUCAACACAAACAUGUCUAAAAGUCAUGCUCAAUUGUUUAGUAAAUGGUUUCUUACACUGCUACAUAGUUUCUAGCUUACUGAUAUCUAUAAAACAGACAGUGGUUUAAAAAACACAAAACUUUAUAUCAAGGUGCUUUAAUUGUAAAAACAGUAGGCUGUCAUCCAUCACAACUGCAUACUAAAACUAAUACUAAUACUAAAAGGUAUAUACUCAAUGCUAAACUUAACAGUUUGAAUGUGUUAUGUGAGCACAAAAAACUAUAGAAACAUACUAACAUACCAGCUUUAGAGUAAAGAAUAUCAAUUACAUCAAUUAAUAUUAUAUCAAUUAAUGCUCAACCCAGCCUUCGUUUAAGGAUAAGGUCCCGCUCUUUAACUAAAAGAGCCAAUCAGUUUGCUGUUUAUGCUGCAUGUGGAGGAAAGCAGGGCUGCUAUAGGCUUGAAAUCACGUUUUUUUGCAUCAUGGAUCCAAAUGCUAAAAAUUUUUAUUAGAAUAUUAUAUCUGAUUUCUCCUCAUUCAAAAAGAUAAGAAACUGGCCAUGUAUGAGUGGAUAAAUUGUCAUUGGAAAGAUGACUGACAAGUAAACUGACAUAGUCGUAGUGUACGAGGAGCCCAGGAUCAUAACCUACCAAUUCUAAAAUAAUUUUGCUUUAAAAUGUGUAUUUAGAUUAGCAUAGGCUGUCUAAUAAAGAGAGGACUUGGGUUUUACAUUAUAUUUAUUUUUUAAUGCAUUUCGGAGUUGCCAGAUCUAGCAAAAAUGGCCCAAAGAGUGCUUGAAAGUUGCUCACAGAAUACUGAAACAAGGCCAAAACUUGAAAUAUCCUGUCACAUACUGAUUUGUAAUCAGAAAGUAAUAAAGUUUUGAUUUGUCAACAGACAUUCCUAUAAAAUUUUCCACCACUGUCACUGCUGCCAUUUAUUGCAACAAUUGGUCCACAUGAAACUAGCUCCUCCCUUUUUGCUUCACAUUGCAUUUUGGGGUACCAGCAUUCUUAAUAAGCACACUCAAAAUCUUACCAAUUCUGAUUUUGUUUAAUGGAUAUACUGUAUGAUACUGUAUCAACUUUGACAGUUUUAUUAAAUUAACAUAAUUCAAACCCAAAAACUUGGCAGUACAUUAAUAUUGGGGCACACCUUAAUACUUUAUCUCUUCUCAGGAAGGAAGACUCAAUUAAUUACAUUCAAAAAGUUCAGAUUUAUUUAGCGUUUUCCCUCCAAUAUCUGCUGAUAUUGAGCUUAUACCCAACUUUAUUACAUACUCGAUUCAAGACUAUUAAUUAAUAUUAAUUAAUUAUUAAGGCAUAUACUGUGAAUAAUGCUGAUAUCCAUCAAUCAUCAAUCAAUCAUGUCUUGGCUGGUUGCCUGUAUUUGGUGUUUGGGGGUUAAACAGUGUAAAUCACAUUUUUCACUAAAUUAUCACUUUAAACUCUUCAGAAACCAGGAUCUCGCUGUGCCGUGUGUCCCUGGG